AUCAUAUCAUAUCUUGUCACUAUAAUAGACGCCGUAAUGCGUUCUGAUGAAAUGAGAAAUUACGGAAACGAAUUGGGUGAAGAAUGAGAAACACGCAUUUCAUUCGAUCAUUUCUCUC
ensembl:ncRNA C23F12.6 ncRNA